UUGUUCAGCCUGGCUCUGUUGCUACACUCCACAGUAUUUUGAUUCCUCCUGCUAUUGCUUCAUACUUCUCAGCUACAUAACUGCUUAUUCCACUAAGUGUGCUUAGGUGUGUGUGUGUGUUUGUAUGCAUGUAUGAGAAAAACAGUAAAUGUACAUUGCACCCCAUCCUACUAUUCUUACUACUGCUAUUGUUAAAACAAUCCUUUAGAGGCUCACAAGAGCUGAACUUUUUCAAACUCAUAGAAAGCCCAGUUCUCUGAGGGUUUCGUUUUUUAUUGUAUUGUGCAGGCCAUUUGAGGCAGUCAAUACAUAUUUUGUGCAGGGCGACAAAAGAGAUGUGACUUGACACUGGCCCUACCCUCCGUGCCACUCAGUAUGGAAUCAGGAUGUUGGACAGAGGGGCUGGGCGCUGGACCUGUUAAAUAUUGACAGCGAGUGUAAUAAUUAACUUUGCACCAACUCCUGAUCUCUUAAACUGGCCGCUCUGCCUCGUUGCCAUUUCGCCGCUGUCACUGCUGACAUUUACAUCUUAAAAAAUGAAAACAUGCACUGCCAAUAUCCACGAAGGUGGGACUUCACCUGUCUCGGUCCCGUGUGCUGAGUUUCUACUCGUCUUGGCUGCAACCCGCGUUCUGCUGCUCCCAGCGCUGGUCCUGUGUGUCACGACACCCUGCUGCUCAAACCUUUGGCCUCCUCUGCAAAAUCCACUGGGCCGCGUUGAGCGCGAAGGCCUUGGCCCUUUGGACAUGCUGUUGGAGCAGCGUGAGCAAUGAUGCCGUUUACUUCAGGUUAUAAAAACUGGGAGGAGGAAAUUGCCAGGUCAAAGUCACUUGCAAGAGGAGACUCCUCUCGUACUAAAGCGGCUGCCUCCGAGUCCAAAUGCUGAGUCCACCUCUGGGCUCUCUUUUGGUGCUUCUCUCCUCUUCAACAAACUGGACCCUGAUCCAAAGACAGGUUUGUUCAUCAGUCCGAGCGGUGUGCCUCGUGCUGUUUAUCAUCGGCGACGAGCCUUCUGGUGCUUGCUGGAUGUAACAGCAACUCCAUGUGGAAGCUGUGUCUGUUCCAGUGGAGGUGCUGUUACUUGCAGAGAUCUACCAAAGACGACAAGAAGCCAGCACGCAAUUGCUUUUAUUUUCCAUUCUGCUUUUUGUUUUGUGAGUGUGUGUUACUACGUCUUUGAAAGAUUGGUAUGUAGCUAAAGAGAGAUGGGGCACAAGGUGAUGACCUAUGAAUUGACAGCCAGUGAUUUCCAGCCUCUGCCUGUCAGUUCUGUAGGCCACUGCUGCGUUCGUCCUGCUGAGCGUGUACAGGUACACGACCGUUUUAUCUCCCACGUGCCUUCACUAAUAAAUAAACUGUGACUUUUUUUGUGAUUUUUUUUAAGGAUGGCAUUGCUGAAAAAAAGUAUACGCGGUGAAUAAAGCCUUAUUGUGUUGCUCAGCGAGUCUGUCAUUUUGCACUGAUGGUCUAUUCAAAUAACCACCUGUAACCUCAAACAGUGAAACUGUAAAUGAUGAGCUCACCCUGAAAGUGCGCCAGCGUAUUGCACGAAUAUAUUUAUGAUCUACUAAUCAUUACAGGACAAUGAUACUAACUGCAAAGAGGAAGUAAGCUCAGUACAAAAGUGUUGAUGUGACACUGGACCACUGCAGAACCUGAUGUGUCCGCAUGCCUGUAAAUGAAACAGGCAACAAGUAGUGCAGAUAAAUUUAACCCUACUAAAAAACCUGACGUAAAUCAGCGAUUUCCAUAUUGGAAAUUAUAUAAUGAAUGUCUUCAUAAUAUAUAAUGUGGCAGGGAGAUAUAUAAUGUCCUCUUAAUUAAAAUGCAACCUCCAGGCAAUUGUAUUAUUAUAAUAAUCAUCCUUAAACAAAGGAUGUUCACUUUUUGAAUGCACCGUUGCAUCAGCAAUUCACUAUUUUAAAUAUGUUGCAUGUUCGUGGGACUAUUAAGUGUUGUAAUGGAUAUUGUUAAUAAAUAAAACAGUGAAUUCUUAUCA